AGAGUUUGAUCAUGGCUCAGAACGAACGCUGGCGGCAGGCCUAACACAUGCAAGUCGAACGCAUGUCUUCGGACAUGAGUGGCAGACGGGUGAGUAACGCGUGGGAACGUACCCUUCGGUUCGGAAUAACCCGGGGAAACUCGGGCUAAUACCGGAUACGUCCGCAAGGAGAAAGAUUUAUCGCCGAAGGAUCGGCCCGCGUCCGAUUAGCUAGUUGGUGGGGUAAUGGCCCACCAAGGCGACGAUCGGUAGCUGGUCUGAGAGGAUGAUCAGCCACACUGGGACUGAGACACGGCCCAGACUCCUACGGGAGGCAGCAGUGGGGAAUAUUGGACAAUGGGCGAAAGCCUGAUCCAGCCAUGCCGCGUGAGUGAAGAAGGCCCUAGGGUUGUAAAGCUCUUUCAGCGGGGAAGAUAAUGACGGUACCCGCAGAAGAAGUCCCGGCUAACUUCGUGCCAACAGCCGCGGUAAUACGAAGGGGACUAGCGUUGUUCGGAUUUACUGGGCGUAAAGCGCGCGUAGGCGGAUCGCUAAGUCAGGGGUGAAAUCCCAGGGCUCAACCCUGGAACUGCCUUUGAUACUGGCAAUCUGGAGAUCGGGAGAGGUUGGUGGAAUUCCGAGUGUAGAGGUGAAAUUCGUAGAUAUUCGGAGGAACACCAGAAGCGAAGGCGGCCAACUGGCCCGAUACUGACGCUGAGGCGCGAAAGCGUGGGGAGCAAACAGGAUUAGAUACCCUAGUAGUCC
rnacentral:rRNA from 1 species